CAAGACUUUGGGAAACUGUUAGCAGGGCCUUAGGAGCACUUUUGCUCUUGGGGGGCAGCCUUGCUCUAUUGCUCGUUGGCACUGAGGGAAGCUCUCUGGGGAGAGGAGCCCACCAAUGCUUGGCUGACAAGACCUCAGUCAUGUCUGAUGUGGCUUCACCUUUGCUGCCGUCUUCGUAUCACUAGGGGAGCCCUGUGGAGUGGGGUGGAGUUCAAGAUGGAUUCUCAAGAAGUUAUAGGAAGCUCUUUAUCAAUUCAAUUCCUGAGAAGGGCCCACUUCAGGGAUGUUACAGUGCAGACAAAGAUUCUGGUGCCUCACAAGAUUUGACACAAGCCAGCGCUUUGUUGUUUUUCUCACCUGUUGGCCAGAAGAUUAUCUUGGAGCAGGAAAAGGAGCCAAGAGAAGCCUCUGAAGGAUUGUAAACAGAAGAAUGAUCCAAUUGUGUUUGUAAAUUAAAAGGUCACCCUGGCUGCUUUGUGGGAAAUGGAUCUGAAUGGGUGGGAAAAGAAUGAAGCCAGGUAGAAGUUGGGAAAUCAGUUAGGAGGCUGUAAAGAAGUCCAAGUGGAAGAUGAUGAUGGCCCAGCUAGGACGGCAGCCGAAUGAAUGGGAGAAGGUUUAUCAAUUCCUCUGAUUUUCCAUCUCUCAAUAGGGAUCGUGGAUGCUGUAUGAAGCUUAAAUUCCUAAGAACCAUAGACACUGUUCAAACACAAGACAGUGCCCCAUUAGAGGAAUGAAGCUCUCAAUCUAGGUGGGAAACACAUAGAAUCCUUAAGAAAGAAGCUUACUCGUAUUUACAAAGAAUAGCCAAGCAUGGACCGUGGUCUUCCUUGUAGUUAAUGAGUUAGGUUUGCUGGGUAAUAGCUCACUUGCUCCUUUCUAUUUUUACAAAAGCAGAUGAUUCUGUUACUAAGUAUUCCACAGUUUAAUUUGAUCUGCGUGUCCAUUUGCACUUCAGAAGUAUUAUGGACAUGGCCAAUUUUGGCUCCCAGACAAUACAAAAUUAUCAUGGAAUCUUCUCCCCCAGCCCAGCAUUCUUUGCUUUGUCUGCAGUUUUUAUGGCACAUGAUAUUUUCCCAUUAACUUUUAUUAGAUCCAUAAUUUUUUUAUUAGCAUUGAGUAAUAACUGUUUUCAGUGGCCCCACUCUUCCGAGGAGUCCUUGAUUAGUAGUCCAUGAUAACAGUUGCUAAAUUGAAGUUUCUUCUGCCAGCAUUUCACCCGCAAUAAAUCCAACUAUUCUACCUCAUCUUGCUUAAAAAGCCAUGAAAUUCCCAGACAUUAUCAGAAAAAUGACCACAGUCAAAGUGCUCUAAAUGGAGAUGGAAAUUAAGCUCUUGCCUAUUUGAAUCAAGAUGUUUCAUAGUUAUGGGCUGAGAGUGAGAACUUUCAACUCAAGUGAAAACUCUCCUCACUUCUCCUCUCUGCAGGAUUUCUCUUAUUAGGGAGAUUGUUUAUUGAUCCACAGUUCCAGAUUGGGACUGUGUCUGAUGGACAAAAAGGAAUUGUUUUAAUAUUAGCAAUAGUAGUUGUUUUUCUUCCCUCAUAUUAAGGAUGAAAUGAGCAUCAGGUGGGAACUUGCCCAGAGCAGAGUAGGAUAUGGGGCUAGCUGCUCUUGGAGAUAUGUUGUCCGGUUCAAAAAUCUCUCAUCUUGUGCUUCCAGUGAAGUUUCUGUUACCUAAAUUUAGUGUAUCUAAUAUUUAGUGUGCCUAGUAUCAGUUCAGUUCAAUUCAAUUUGAUAGGAGAUUUUUGAUAUUUCUUACGUUGUGGCCAGCCAAGAUCCCUAUAUUCAUUAGGAUUGGUUAAACUACAAGUGACAGAAACCCCCAAAUUUCUCUCAUGUAAAAGAAGUGUAGAGAUUGAGAAUCCAGGAUUUACUGGACAAGUUACAAAGUGGUCAGGACCUAGGCUGAUAUCUUGCUGCUGGGACAUCCUCAACAUGUAGCUUUCAGCUCAUGAUUCAAGAUGGCUGCCUGAGAUCUAGCCAUCUGUAUUCUAACAGUAGAAAGGAAGAAGGGAAAAACAAAGUCAUGCCGCCUUCCUUUAAGGACACUUCCAGGGAGUUCCACGUGACCCUUCCACCUAAAUCCAUUGGCCAGAAUUGACUCAUAUGGGCAUAUCUAUCUGUAAAGGAGGCUAGAAAAUAAAUAUUAUUAUUCCAGGCACCUUGUGCUGAGCCAAAAUGUUGGGGAUUCUAUUACUAAGGAAGAAUAGGAGAAUCCAUUUUGGGGGACAUCUAAUAGGAUCUAACAACAGAUAUUCAAGCUAUCUUCUCUAGAUUUUUUAAGAGCUCCCCAUUUGUUCUUGAGUAUUCAGGAAACCAAUUUUAAAACAGAUGCUUCCUGUCUUUGGAAAAAUGAGGUUCAAAUUUCACAAUCCAAAGACUGGAAACUGAGCAAAGAAAUGCUUCUGGUAUAUAUAUAGCUGAUGACUUUGAGAAAUACUAGGAUACACAGCAGCUUCAAACAAUUAUCCAUCAUCCAUCUAUCCAUCCAUCCAUCCUUUUGACACAUUUAUUGAGUACCUGCUAUAUGCCAGACCCACGCUCAUGGCUUAGAAAAAGCAUAUGAUGAAUAAGUUAUUUCUCACACUCAAGAAACUCAUGAUUUGGUGUAGGAAAAUGGUAGGUAAAUUAAUAAUUUCAGGUGAUAAAUGCUAUAAUAGAGAUAAUCAUUCAUUUACUUUCCCAUUCAACAAAUACUUUUUGAAUACCUACUAUGUACUAGGUGCUCUGCUAGACACUGAAGAUACAGAAAUAAAAAGUCAAGUUCUCUACCAAAAAAAAGUAAAAUGCAGAGUGAUAAAAGGAUCUAGUGGAGGCAUGGCUGGGAACAAUGGGAACUUGUGGAGGGUAAGCUUACUUCUGCCUGGUUGAGUCAGAAAAUGCUCCAGGAGGAGGUAACUGCUGAACUAAAGCAUGAAGGAGGAGUAGAGCUUUGCCAAUACAAACUUGAGCCUUUUCCUUCUGCCCAUUAAGCAUUGAUAGAAUUACCCACCUUUACUUUCCUGCUUAUAUGUAAUUCAAUAUGUCAUGGGUGGGUGGUAUUUGGUACCAAUCUAUACUAGAGACUUUGAAUGAUUCUGCUACCCAACUGGGUACAAAAAGGUAUUUACUUGGUAAGGUUUCUUGUGUGAAUGGGUAAUAGGAGAUAUUUCCAAUUUUGCUUGGUUUUAAGCAGAGUUGUGAUGGCAAUAUUUUAAAUCCGUCUUGGGUCUAGAGGGCCUGACAAAUGCAUUUCCACCAUGGCAAGGAACUGGAAACCAAAAAUGAUUGUGUCUCAAAUGAAAUGAAGAGUCUGACAAAAUAUGUCCUAUCAAUAGAAUGAAAUUAGUUAUCUGUCAAAAUGCAUUUGUCCUCUAAAUAACCAUCCAUAUGUUUUAUGUUUUGGUAUUAAAUAGACAUUCAUCAGUUUAUCACACUAGCGCUGUCAGAGACCCAGCAAUUUGGAACAGAAUUUUAAAGAUCCUUCUAAAGCAAUAACCUAGGAAGAAUUUUGGAGGGUUUGUUUUUCUUAUUUCUCAUUUCUUUUCCAUUUCUUCUUUUGAUUCCUUUGGCUCCCUUCGGAGCCUGCCGUUUAUUACUAAAGAGAGGAGGAUCAUCUAUUUAAAUCAAUCCAAUAAUACUAUGUUCCAAGGCAUUAAUUCCUGCCUGCAAUCCGCUCCUUGCAGAGAGUGUUGUUUGCCUCCUCAGCUUUCCGUCUUCAGGUGUGGCCUGUGAAGGGGAAUGCUGGGUUUGUGACCACUGAGUGCAUGAGGUGUGGGCUCCCUUUGGCUCUGUAGCUUCCUUACUG
rnacentral:lncRNA from 10 species